rnacentral:misc_RNA from 1 species
CCUCCGAUUAGGGAAUCGUUCCCUUCUCCAGCCAGGAGGACGUCCGCCCCGUUCCUCCGUGAAGGACAUCAUUUCCUGCUUCUCCGUGAAGUUGAUCGUCUCCUUCCGCCGUAAAGAGGGUCCAAUAAAGUGGAUCACUGGUCGAGAGCCGGCCGGUGAUAUAAUCGCCAAAGAGAAAAUCGUUUUCAGUCCCACCAUUGAGAAAAUCGUUCCCCUCACCGCCCGUCAAGACAUCCUCACCUGUCCCUCCGAACAGCAGAUCCUCGCCGCCUGCCGCCCGAUACUC